rnacentral:rRNA from 1 species
ACGGGAGGCAGCAGUGGGGAAUUUUGGACAAUGGGCGCAAGCCUGAUCCAGCUAUUCCGCGUGUGGGAUGAAGGCCCUCGGGUUGUAAACCACUUUUGUAGAGAACGAAAAGACACCUUUUAAAAAAGGGUGUUGCUGACGGUACUCUAAGAAUAAGCACCGGCUAACUACGUGCCAGCAGCCGCGGUAAUACGUAGGGUGCGAGCGUUAAUCGGAAUUACUGGGCGUAAAGGGUGCGCAGGCGGUUGAGUAAGACAGAUGUGAAAUCCCCGAGCUUAACUCGGGAAUGGCAUAUGUGACUGCUCGACUAGAGUGUGUCAGAGGGAGGUGGAAUUCCACGUGUAGCAGUGAAAUGCGUAGAUAUGUGGAAGAACACCGAUGGCGAAGGCAGCCUCCUGGGACAUAACUGACGCUCAGGCACGAAAGCGUGGGGAGCAAACAGGAUUAGAUACCCUGGUA